AACCAAUCAGAUAUAACUGCACCCAAACGCUUCAGUAAUGGUUGCGAUUGAUCAAACGUUGCCAGAUGCUGUCCUGUUGAAAAUUCUUCUUUACGAGAUCCUGGAGGAGGGGUGAUGCUACAUUACUAAGUCCGUCUUUGGUUUGUUCCAAAUUCAGAAGUCUGCUGUACUGUAUACAGACUCCUUUCGAAAGAGGGCACAAUCCAGCUGGCUUGACUGAGUGGAACAAAAUGGAGAACAAGUCUAAGCCAUGUCAGGAAUUCAACAAAAUGUACACCCUGC